rnacentral:lncRNA from 1 species
AUGUAAUAAAGUUUAAAGUGGGCCCUGAACCACCCUUUGGGUUUGGUGAAAUAACGUAGUCCGCAGGUAGCAUACACUGCUAUGAACAUCUCAGACAAGUUUUGCUGUCGUAGGCGAUGCGUGGAGCUCGCAAGUGGAGCGGGAAGUCACCUUUCUCUCAAACGCUCUCGUUUCAACAGAAGCCA